AAAGUCUUGCUGAUUGCUGAAUAAAACUACAAUAGGGAACAAUUUGACAAUGAUUGAAUUUAGUAGUGUCAGCCCUUUGAUUAUGACCCGUGUAUAUAGCAAAAUCCUAACUUCAUACACCGUUUGGUGGUGCGCCUGUCAAAUGCGGAACGUACAGAUAAGGUAAUAGCUAACAGGUGAAUAUACUAUUGGUAUCGGUAUCGGAUUUGACCCGGAA
rnacentral:lncRNA from 1 species